UGCAGCAGAAGCCAACACAACAUUGUAAAGCAGUUGCACUGCAAUUAAAAAAUUUUUUUAAAUAAUUUACACAGGUUCGUUGUGGAAAUUUAGAAAACACAGUAUAAAGAAGAAAACAAAAAUCAUCCAUAAAACCUCUGUACUUACUUAACCUUUGAUGUUCUUCAAUAAUCCAAUACCUGAAACAAUGCUUUGUCCGGAAUGGCAAAACCAGUAAACUUUCGUGGAUUGAAAAAAGCAACAUAAAGAUGGAAAGAGUCAUCAUCAGGACUGAUGAAUCAGCUGUGGUGCAGAACACUGUGGCCCUGGAAGACGAGGCCCUGCUGAGUGACAGCCUCCAGGGUAUGUUGUUCAGUGAAAGCGCAGG
rnacentral:lncRNA from 1 species